rnacentral:rRNA from 1 species
GAUGAACGCUGGCGGCGUGCUUAACACAUGCAAGUCGAACGAUGAAGCCCAGCUUGCUGGGUGGAUUAGUGGCGAACGAGUGAGUAACACGUGAGUAACCUGCCCUUGACUCUGGGAUAAGCCUGGGAAACUGGGUCUAAUACUGGAUAUGACUUCUCAUCGCAUGGUGGGGGGUGGAAAGAUUUAUUGGUCUUGGAUGGACUCGCGGCCUAUCAGCUUGUUGGUGAGGUAAUGGCUCACCAAGGCGACGACGGGUAGCCGGCCUGAGAGGGUGACCGGCCACACUGGGACUGAGACACGGCCCAGACUCCUACGGGAGGCAGCAGUGGGGAAUAUUGCACAAUGGGCGCAAGCCUGAUGCAGCGACGCCGCGUGAGGGAUGACGGCCUUCGGGUUGUAAACCUCUUUCAGUAGGGAAGAAGCGAGAGUGACGGUACCUGCAGAAGAAGCGCCGGCUAACUACGUG